rnacentral:tRNA from 1 species
CGGCGGCUUGAUUACUCUGGCCGCCACGUUCGGGACGUGGGGGUCGCAAGUUCGAAUCUUGCCACUCCGACCA